UUCAUUUUUGAAAUGUUCACCUGCCUGCUUGCUCAUUCUAGAGAGGAAAAUUGGCAAAAAAAAUUAGGUUUACGAUUUCUUCGUCAAAUUUCUCGGUUUCGACUUUCGAUUAUUCGCAUGUAUAUGAGAUUUGACGGGUCAUCCAGCUAUCGGAUCGGGAGUUCAAGGAGGUUGGCGGUUUUGAUAUACGUGGUUGAUUGGAAAUAGCCGUGUAUGUUCAUAGCAUUAUGAAGUGGCCGGGCUUCCAUCUUUUAUUCCGGAAGCAUUUUUAAAUUAUAUAAAGAUGACUGAUAUCUUAUCUCUAGAGUUGUAGUAGUUUUAUAAUAUGAGAAUGUGUUAUCUUAGUUUAGUAGUUCACUCUAUUUUACACAACUUUAAUAUGAACUGUUAUAUAUAUAUAUGGUUUGAAAACCUGCGUGAUUUUCAUAAUAUAUGGAUGAUCUACUAGUUGUUAUAUCAUAAA